rnacentral:rRNA from 1 species
GUGUCAGCAGCCGCGGUAAUACGUAGGGGGCAAGCGUUGUCCGGAAUCAUUGGGCGUAAAGCGCGUGUAGGCGGCCAUCCAAGUCCGAUGUGAAAGCUCGGGGCUCAACCCCGAGUCUGCAUUGGAAACUGUAUGGCUUGAGUCCGGAAGAGGAGACUGGAAUUCCUGGUGUAGCGGUGAAAUGCGCAGAUAUCAGGAAGAACACCGGUGGCGAAGGCGGGUCUCUGGGACGGUACUGACGCUGAGACGCGAAAGCGUGGGGAGCAAACAGGAUUAGAUACCCGUGUAGUCC